AACGCGAAGAACCUUACCUGGGCUCGAAAUGUUAUGGACCGGAGUUGAAAGAUUCCUUCCCAGCAAUGGGCCGUAAUAUAGGUGCUGCAUGGCUGUCGUCAGCUCGUGUCGUGAGAUGUUGGGUUAAGUCCCGCAACGAGCGCAACCCUUAUCUUCAGUUGCUACCAUUUAGUUGAGCACUCUGACGAAACCGCCUCGGAUAACGGGGAGGAAGGUGGGGAUGACGUCAAGUCCUCAUGGCCUUUAUGUCCAGGGCUACACACGUGCUACAAUGGCCGGUACAAACCGUUGCAAACCCGCGAGGGGGAGCUAAUCGGAAAAAGCCGGCCUCAGUUCGGAUUGGAGUCUGCAACUCGACUCCAUGAAGCUGGAAUCGCUAGUAAUCGCGGAUCAGAAUGCCGCGGUGAAUACGUUCCCGGGCCUUGUACACACCGCAUAC
rnacentral:rRNA from 1 species